GACGAACGCUGGCGGCGUGCCUAAUACAUGCAAGUAGGACGCAGUUGCGAACGGGUGAGUAACGCGUAGGUAACUACCUAUUAGAGGGGGAUAACUAUUGGAAACGAUAGCUAAUACCGCAUACUAGUAGAUGGACCUGCGUUGUAUUAGCUAGUAGGUAGGGUAAUGGCCUACCUAGGCAACGAUACAUAGCCGAGCUGAGAGGGUGAUCCGCCACAAUGGGACUGGUACACGGGCCAGACUCCCACGGGGGGGAGGAGUAGGGAAUCUUUGGACAUGGGGGGAACCCUGAACGCGCCACGCCGCGUGAUUGAAGAAGGUUUUCGGAGCGUAAAGCUCUGUUCUUAAGGAAGCGGUACUUAACCAGAAAGGGACGGCUAACUACGUGCCAGCAGCCGCGGUAAUUC
rnacentral:rRNA from 1 species